AAAAAAAUUAUUUUCACAUUUUCAUGUCUUAUUCUUCUUAUUUCCAUGCAUGAUAAAAAAAAAAGGUAAAUAAUAUUUUUUUCUAUUGGAUAUUUUAUUUUUUAAAAUGCCAAGCAGCUGGUUACCCCAAAAAGCAGCAGUUUCCUUUGGAAUGGUCUCUGUGGUUGCCAUGACAGUGACUGGCAGGAUCACAGCACAAAGGACAUAAAUAAAUGCCCAGUCCUGGGAGCAAGAUAAGAUGCAAUUCUUUGAGCUGCAGAAAGGACAACACAAUAAGAACUUGCUCUUACAGAAGAACAGUGAAAGCUUUUAGGACUGAAAGAAAUAACCAGUUCAGCAGCAUCAGAAAUGCCUAACAGAGAGAGAAAAAUCAGCAAUAAUUUCUCCCUUUGGUCUUGAGACACACUGUGUUUGUUCUACUCUACCCAGGUUAAAAUUAAUUUUGGUGAAUAAUAUAAAAAAAUACAGCAAAGCCCAAUAUUCCCAAUGCAAUGAAAUGGCAACAAGGCAUCAUGAGCCUUGUCCAGGAACUCUGCUGCUUGACUCUCCAACAUUCAGUGAUAAAAACUGUUUGCACAGUUCUGGGAAAAAAAUGUCAAUCCCUUGAAAAAACUUGGGGUUGAAUUUUCCUUUGGUGGCUCUAGGAGUGCAGGGAGCAGCUGCAAUAUUUUGUGCAACUAAAUGACAGUGGCUGCCUGUGCUGCAAGUUCUGCAGUUUGUGCUGCCUUGAUUUUAAAUGCUGAGUUAUUUUAGAAGUGGAUUUCCAUGAGUGGCCUGUCAAGGGGAGUUCCAGUUUAUCAAAUUUCAGGUUCACAGCAUGUUCAAUCCAAACUCCAGCUCCAUAUAAAUAUGUUUUAUGGUAGUUGAAGUCUUUUGAGGCUGUUUAUUAUAGAAAAGUUCUUCUGUGUGCCCAUAUGCUGCACUAAUUUGAGUGAAACAAACUAAUUAUAAGUUGAUGUCAUAUGGCUAAAAAAAUACAUGUUUAUGCCUUGUGUGUUUCACAGUGCUGACUUUCUCAACCACACUUGCAGAACACACAUGGGAUGUGUUCUCUGGGCCUGGCACCUCACUGGGUAAAGUUAUGCUCUUUAUUUUUCAAUUUCUAAUUAAAAAGAUGAACCUUGUGCAAAAUCUUUGGGGCCUUGUGAACA